GUCAGAAUGGCCGAGCGGUCUAAGGCGCCAGACUCAAGGUUAUGCCCCUUCUCCAAAACAGAGAGAUUCUGGUCUCCGAAUGGAGGCGUGGGUUCAAAUCCACUUCUGACA
rfam:Astyanax mexicanus Tnplaced_Scaffold3730, whole genome shotgun sequence.